CAGUUUUUGGUAUUAAGGAAUAAUAGAGAAAUAAUAUAUACAUAAAAUUUUUAAUACUUGUUAUCACUCUCAAACAAUAUUGCAUAUUUUAAAUGGAAAUUGCUCUUUCAGACAACAGGCAAUGCAUACAGUCCAGUUGGAACUUCUGAGGCUGGUCCAUUUCUACCUCCUCCUCCAUAUCUUCUUCCAGACAGAAAUUUCUGACUUUAAUGCAUAGCAGCAAGGGCAGUUUGUCCAUUUUAUUUUUACCUUGCUCCAGGAUAGCACCAGUCUUCCCACACAAUAUGUGUAUUCUGCUCUUCCAGCAGCUGCAGCAGGUUCAAAUGCAACUGAAAUAUAUCAGUAUGGUGGCUCUAUUUCAAAUUGCUCUCCUCCAAUUUCUGCCCAAAUGGCAAAUUCAUAUACCACACAAACUAAUCCUAAUAUGGAAUAUGCAGAUUCUGCCAGUGUUGAAUUAUCAUCCAAUGAG
rnacentral:lncRNA from 1 species